rnacentral:rRNA from 1 species
CCCUUAGAUGUUCUGGGCCGCACGCGCGCUACACUGACGAAUUCAACGAGCUUAUAACCUUGGCCGAAAGGUCUAGGUAAUCUCCAAAAUUCGUCGUGAUGGGGAUAGAUUAUUGCAAUUAUUAAUCUUCAACGAGGAAUGCCUAGUAAGCGCAAGUCAUCAGCUUGCGUUGAUUACGUCCCUGCCCUUUGUACACACCGCCCGUCGCACCUACCGAUUGAAUGGUCCGGUGAAGCCUCCGGAUUGGCGCGCACCUCGGUGCCGCCGAGAAGUUGGCUAAACCUUACCAUUUAGAGGAAGGUGAAGUCGUAACA